CACGUAGGGUGCGAGCGUUGUCCGGAAUUAUUGGGCGUAAAGAGCUCGUAGGCGGUGUGUCGCGUCGGCCGUGAAAACCUGCAGCUUAACUGUGGGCUUGCGGUCGAUACGGGCAUCACUGGAGUUCGGCAGGGGAGACUGGAAUUCCUGGUGUAGCGGUGGAAUGCGCAGAUAUCAGGAGGAACAUCCGUGGCGAAGGCGGCUCUCUGGGACGGUACUGACGGCUGAGACGCGAAAAGCGUGGGGGAGCGAACAGG
rnacentral:rRNA from 1 species